rnacentral:rRNA from 1 species
AUUGAACGCUGGCGGCAGGCUUAACACAUCCAAGUCGAGCGGGGGAAGGUAGCUUGCUACCUAACCUAGCGGCGGACGGGUGAGUAAUGCUUAGGAAUCUGCCUAUUAGUGGGGGACAACAUUUCGAAAGGGAUGCUAAUACCGCAUACGCCCUAAGGGGGAAAGCAGGGGAUCUUCGGACCUUGCGCUAAUAGAUGAGCCUAAGUCGGAUUAGCUAGUUGGUGGGGUAAAGGCCUACCAAGGCGACGAUCUGUAGCGGGUCUGAGAGGAUGCUCCGCCACACUGGGACUGAGACACGGCCCAGACUCCUGCGGGAGGCAGCAGUGGGGAAUAUUGGACAAUGGGGGGAACCCUGAUCCAGCCAUGCCGCGUGUGUGAAGAAGGCCUUUUGGUUGUAAAGCACUUUAAGCGAGGAGGAGGCUACCGAGAUUAAUACUCUUGGAUAGUGGACGUUACUCGCAGAAUAAGCACCGGCUAACUCUGUGCCAGCCGCCGCCGUAAAAC